UAAUAGAUAAGCUAGUGAGAAUUGUACCUUUUGCUUGCUGGCCAUCCCAGCCUCGCAGGUCCAUUCCUCGGCCGAGAAUACAACUCUAAAAAGGAAUAUAUAUUUGAUUUCUGCAGAUCGAGCGACACCGCUCGAAAAGAAGAGAAAAUCCCAUAUAGAGGCAGACGCAGAGAGCGAGGUGGGGAUCAAACCCAUCACAGAAGAAAACCAGCUAGCGUCGUCGAACCCCCAUCGUGCCGUCGAAGAAUCUGAGCUGGUGGUCGAUUUCUGAAAGAGAGAGUGCCGUCGUGGUUCAUUUCCUCUCAACAUGGGAAAAGGGGAAGAACAACCAUCUCCACUAACACCAUCUACCUCAAAUUCUCCAACUGCAAAUGCUAGUUACCCUACUCCUCUCAUGACUACAUGCUCCGCAACGAGUGGAAACGUUGAUAUAGAGGAAACACCCGAUUGUAGGGAAACUGGUAUGCCAUGUACCUCAUCUAAAGUUGAAGAAAGCAAAGAAGAUAGACUAGAUUCAUGGGAAACCGAGGAUAGCAUUGCUGGGACACCUCAGUUAGAGGAUGAAGUUGGUGGUGAUAUGAUUGAGGAGCCAAAAUCGAGGAUGGAGUUUUAUUCUUUUGAAGAAUUAAUGAGUUAUUAUAAGCAAUAUGCUAAGAAUUGCUGGUUUGAGGUGAUGACAAGAAGGACUGAGAGAGGAGAUGAUGAGACUGUUAGAUAUGUCACUCUUGGUUGCCCGUGGUGGGAAGGCCCGGAAUAGGACGUUGAAUGUCUCCAGACCACGUUUGACAGGAAAGACAGAAUGUAAGGAGAUUAAUGCCUUAAGAGUUGAUGGAAAGUUUUGACAACAGUUCGUAAUAUCCAUAACCAUAGUCUUAGUCUAAAUAAAUCUCGUUUCUUUCAAUGUAAUAGAAAAACGAGUGACUCCAUAAAUAGAGUCAUAGAUACGAAUGAUUUGGUUGGCAUCCAAAUGAAUAAGAGUUUUGGAUCUCUCGUCGUUGGUGCUGGUGGAUUAGAGAACCUCUCGUUUUUGGAAAAUGAUUGUCAUAAUUAUAUCGACAAGGAAAAACAUCUACGACUUGGGAAAGGUGGUGCUAGAGCGCUUUGAGAAUAUUUUUGUAGGAUGCAAUACAAAAAUCUCGAUUUCUUUGCAUUGAUGGAUUUGGAUGAUGAUGGGAGGCUAAAAAUUGUCUUUUGGGCAGACCCCGUAGUAGGGCAGCAUAUCAGUAUUUCGGUGACGUGGUCACAUUUGACACCACGUAUUUGACGAAUAGAUAUGAGAUGCUCUUUACUCUAUUUAUUGGUGUAAACCACUACAGCCAGUCAAUUUUGUUGGGAGUGGGAUUGAUAUUCAAUAAGGAUACGGAAACGUUUGUGUGGUUAUUUCAGACCUGGUUGCAGUGUAUGGAUAAUAUAGCUCCAAAAGCUAUUAUCACAUAUCAGGAUAGAGCGAUGAAAAAUGCAAUUGCUAUUGUCUUUCAAAAAAUCUGACAUCAAUUUUGUUUGUGGCAUAUACUGAAGAAAGUCCCCGAAAAGCUUGUCUCUCAUGCUUCCUACGAAAGCGGGAUGAAAAAUGCAUUGAUGAAAUGUGUGUAUGACACCCAAAGUGUUGAAGAGUUUGAGAAAUGUUGGGAUCAGUUAAUCACCACUUACAACUUGCAUGAGAAUGCCUAACUGCAAAGUUUAUAUGCUGAGUGUGAGCAUUGGGUACCUGCAUUCUUGAAGAAGUUUUUUUGGGCUAGAAUGAGUACAACACGGCGGAGUGAGAGCAUUACUGUUUUUUUUUAUGGUUAUGUUCAUGCUAAUAAGACAAACUUUAAAGAGUUCGUCGACCAAUUCGACAAUGUGCUGAAAAAGAAAAUUGAAAAUGAAAAUAGCAUGGACUUCUACUCAUUUAGCGUCACCAUUCCCUGCAUAUCUAGAUCUCUAAUUGAAAAGAAAUUUCAAGAUUUGUACACAAAUGCUAAAUUCAGGGAAGUUCAGCAGCAACUUACUAGCAUUAUUGAUCUGGAUCUAGAGUUACGUUAGACAGAUGGUGUAGUUAAGACCUAUUUGAUAGAGGAUGAAGUUUGUGUGGAAGAGUUCACUAAGCUAGUUACACAUUCAGUGGACUUUAGUGAGGAAGAUGCAGCUGCAAAUUGUUCAUGUGGUUUAUUUUAGAUGAGAGGUAUAUUGCGUAGGUAUAUUUUGGCCGUAUUAAAAUGUAACGGUAUAAAAUCUAUGCCAAAGAGGUAUAUUCUAGAUCAAUGGAAGAAGGACAUUAAGAGGAGAUACACGUUAAUCCAUUGUAGCUAUGACGCAGGGGAUCAACGGGCAGAUGCUAACAGAUAUUCAAGUCUAUUGAAUAUUUGUUGUCAGAUGAUUACUCAUGCAGCGGGUUUGAAAAAAGCAUACCGAGGAUGCAACACAUAAGUUGUAUGCAAUGAUUGACUUAUAUCGUGACAACCAUAAACCCCAUCAAUGACCCUUACAGGUUCCAAUGUUGGUCGUACAACACAAGUAGGUGGUAGUUCAUAGCAAGUACUCAAUCCACUAGUUGUGAGAGGGAAAGACAGACCUCCAUCUCUGAGAAGAGCAUCCAGGAUGAAGAAAGACAUGUGGAAAGUUAAAGCGAAGACGACAAAAGCACCAGUCAAGGGAAAACGUAAACAGAGAGAUGGAGGAGAUACACCAGUGCUGGACACGUGCAGGAAUUUAUUUGGCCCAUAAAAGAUAAAUAUGUCCAAUGUUGGACACGUGCAGCUUAUGCAGCACAAGGAAGAGGGAGGAACAAGUUGUAAUGUCUCAGUUGCAAAAAAUUUGGUCAUAUUGCUCCUAACUGUCCUAAGAAAGUUUGUAACUACUGCAAGAAAGAGGGUCAUAUCAUUAAAGACUGUCGCGUACGGCCUCAGAAUUGCCAAUCCCAAGCUUUUCAGAUUGCUGUUCAGUUCUCUUCUUCUUCGGAGCCACCUAAUUCAUCUGUUCUCAUACUAGCAAUGGUCCAACAGAUGAUUGUGUAUGCUUUUACGGCCUUAGGCCUAUAAGGAUCAAGUGUCGGGGACGGUGAUCGUGAAGGGGCCUAAAAUAGGACGUUUCUUUCCCUUACAGUUUUUUAUUCCUAAUGUUGUUUCUUUUGCUUGUACGGCUACUACCAAUACUAAUGAAGUCUGACAUAAGAAAUUAGGUCAUCCUAAUUCUGUUGUCUUGAUUCAUCUUAUGAAACAUGAUUUUUUGGGCAAUAAAGAUUUUUUUGCUCCUGUAUCUUUUGAUUGUGCUACUUGUCGUCUUGGUAAAAGUAAAACCUUACAUUUUUCUGCGCAUGGUAGUCGUGCUUCUAACUGUUUUGAGAUUGUGCAUAUUGACGUUUGGGGUGUAAGUCCUAUUAUUUCUCAUGGUCAAUAUGGUUAUGACGUUUAUUGAUGAUUAUAGUCGAUUCACUUGGAUGCAUUUUCUCUGUUCUAAAGCUGACGUGUUUUCUGUCUUUCAAAAAUUUGUUGCGCUUGUUGAGACACAGUUCAACACUUUUAUCAAAACUUUAUGCUCCGACUCAGGGGGGAGUACAUGUCAUUCUUUUCAAACGUUUCUUCAGCAAAAGAGGAUCAUUUCUCAAUGUUCUUGUCCUUAUAUUCCUCAACAAAAUGGAGUCGCUGAGCGUAAGAAUCGUCAUCUCUUAGAUGUAGUCUGUACUUUGUUGAUUGAUUCUUCUGUACCUUCGAAGUUCUGGGUAGAAGCUUUAUCUACUGCUAUCUAUUUGAUCAAUCGUUUGCCUACUGACACACUAGAUUAUGAUUCUCCUUAUUUUCGAUUAUUUAGCAUAUCUCUUGAGUAUCAAUCUUUUCAUACCUUUGGGUGUGUUUAUUUUGUUCAUCUGCCACCCUGUUGAGUGUCACAAGCUUGCUGCACAGUCUGUUACGUGUGCCUUUAUGGGAUAAAGUCCUACUUAGAAAGGAUUGUUUGUUAUGAUGCUCAUGCAAAUAAAUUCUGAAUCUCACAGAAUGUGAUUUUUUUCAAAAAUCAAUAUUUAUUUCAGUCUCAUGUUAUUUCAGAUCCUCCUAUUACUCUUCUUCCCACUUUUGAUGACGUGUUUUCCUUUAUUAAGCAAUUUCAAUCAGGUAUGGUGUAUCAUCGUCGUCUUCCUCCUUCAAUGCCCAUUCCAGACACUGAUCCAUCAUCGGAUUUUGCUGUUCCUAUACCUCGGCACUCCACCUUGGUUACACAUCUACCAGAUAGGUAUGGUUUUCCUCACAUCUCGCUUACUACCACUCUCAACACUAUUUCUGUUCACUCUUAUACUCAGGCAUCCACCCAAGCAUGUUGGCAGCAAGCCAUGCAAGAGGAAAUCCAACUCUUCAAGACAAUCACACUUAGGACAUUGUAAUUUGUCCAUUUAAUGUCAAACCUAUUAGUUAUAAAUGGGUAUACUUAGUCAAGUUUCGAGCUGUUGGCUCUAGGGGUGAGAAUUGGCCGGUCCGGACCGGCCAAACCGACCGGACCGGAUUCGGUC